GCUUGUCUCAAAGAUUAAGCCAUGCAUGUCUAAGUAUAAGCAAUUAUACAGCGAAACUGCGAAUGGCUCAUUAUAUAAGUUAUCGUUUAUUUGAUAGUGCCUUACUACUUGGAUAACCGUGGUAAUUCUAGAGCUAAUACAUGCUAAAAACCCCGACUUCGGAAGGGGUGUAUUUAUUAGAUACAAAACCAAUGCCCUUCGGGGCUCCUUGGUGAUUCAUGAUAACUAUACGAAUCGCACGGCCUUGCGCCGGCGAUGGUUCAUUCAAAUUUCUUCCCUAUCAACUUUCGAUGUUUGGGUAUUGGCCAAACAUGGUUGCAACGGGUAACGGAGGGUUAGGGCUCGACCCCGGAGAAGGAGCCUGAGAAACGGCUACUACAUCCAAGGAAGGCAGCAGG
rnacentral:rRNA from 1 species